UUAGCUUAGGGUUUUAUUUUGCAAACAAUUUGAAGAUGAAUCAAUUUGAAGCUGAGACCGGAAACGGACGAUUCAAACAAGUCGAUAUUGGCGAAGGAAGCAUGAGAUGGGAUGGGAAGGAACUGUAAUUACGAAAGCAACUCCAGGGCCUUCACCAUUUUCAAAUGAAUUUUUUUUUAAGAAUCGAAUUGCAAAGACUCGAUUAUAUCCAGAUGUAUCUUUGGUACUGGGUUGUAUAUCCUGUGACUUAAGCCUUUGAGCCUUACCACGGUAGAGAAGUGAGCAGUGUGGGCAAUGUUUCUUCAAUGAAGUCCAAAUCUGUAUGUACUUCUGUUAUCAAUAUCUUUUUACGUUAUCUUUGUGCACUUUUGCAGGACUUGACCUUCACUGAAAUAGUUAGGCCUAAUGGUUUUCUGACAAGAAAGCAGUGUUUUGCAAAGAGAUUAUUUUUCAUUUUCUCCUUACCAUAGUUAGGAGAGGCUGGAUUGUUUGUUUGAUAGUUAAAAGUAUUUUUCUUACAUUUUUAUCUUGAGGGGAUUAGAGAGACAAAGGAUAUUGGUCCUUUAACCGUUGCCCUUGGUUGUGGAAACAAAAAUUCUAGACCAAUCAUGACAAUGUGAAUUGGUUAUACUAGUGGGAGUUGGGAUGCUAUUUGUGUAGGUUUUGUUGCAAAUUUGUAUGAACAUAGGACAAUAGUGAACACAAGUGAGACACUAAUCCCUUUGUUUGGUAAGACUUGAGUUUUAGCCCCUAUUUGAUCCCCAUUACCUGGAAAUGAAAAUGGAAGGAAUAGUAUUUUUUAG